rnacentral:rRNA from 1 species
AGCGAACGCUGGCGGCAGGCCUAACACAUGCAAGUCGAACGAACUCUUCGGAGUUAGUGGCGGACGGGUGAGUAACCCGUGGAAACGUGCCUUUUGGUUCGGAAUCACUCAGGGAAACUUGUGCUAAUACCGAAUGUGCCCUUCGGGGGAAAGAUUUAUCGCCAUUAGAGCGGCCCGCGUCUGAUUAGCUAGUUGGUGAGGUAACGGCGCACCCAGGCGACGAUCAGUAGCUGGUCUGAGAGGAUGACCAGCCACACUGGGACUGAGACACGGCCCAGACUCCUACGGGAGGCGGCAGUGGGGAAUCUUGCGCAAUGGGCGAAAGCCUGACGCAGCCAUGCCGCGUGAAUGAUGAAGGUCUUAGGAGUGUAAAAUUCUUUCACCGGGGACGAUAAUGACGGUACCCGGAGAAGAAGCCCCGGCUAACUUCGUG